AUUGAACGCUGGCGGCAGGCCUAACACAUGCAAGUCGAGCGGAUGAAGGGAGCUUGCUCCUGGAUUCAGCGGCGGACGGGGGAGUAAUGCCUAGGAAUCUGCCUGGUAGGGGGGGACAACGUUUCGAAAGGAACGUUAAUACCGCAUACGUCCUACGGGAGAAAGCAGGGGACCUUGGGGCCUUGCGCUAUCAGAUGAGCCUAGGUCGGAUUAGCUAGUUGGUGGGGUAAUGGCUCACCAAGGCGACGAUCCGUAACUGGUCUGAGAGGAUGAUCAGUCACACUGGAACUGAGACACGGUCCAGACUCCUACGGGAGGCAGCAGUGGGGAAUAUUGGACAAUGGGCGAAAGCCUGAUCCAGCCAUGCCGCGUGUGUGAAGAAGGUCUUCGGAUUGUAAAGCACUUUAAGUUGGGAGGAAGGGUUGUAGAUUAAUACUCUGCAAUUUUGACGUUACCGACAGAAUAAGCACCGGCUAACUCUGUGCCAGCCGCCGCCGUAAUAC
rnacentral:rRNA from 1 species